UUUUUUUAUCUGCGAUAGAUUUCUCUAGACGCGCAAAGAUCUGAUUACAACCAGACCUUCGCUUAACUAGAACCUCCCUGACAACAUGAAGUAGGCUAAAAGCAACUCCUCAAGCCACAGCUCCGUUCGGAAGAAUGGUGCUUCUGGUCUGCUCUCAAGAAAUCUCUCCCGUCCCGCCCUUCAGCAGGGAAGGCCGUCUCUGCACAUUUGAUUGACACUGCCACUUCCUUAAAUUUCCUUUCAGUGCUUUUACCACAACGAGAAAAAAAAUACAUGUCCAUGAA